GCCUGGGUGGCUCAGUGGUUGAGCGUCUGCCUUUGGCCCAGGGCAUGAUCCAGGAGUCCUGGGAUUGAGUCCCACUUCGGGCU
rnacentral:tRNA from 1 species